AGAGAAAUUUCUCUGAUGAGAUCUGAGAGCUGCACUAAGGUGCAGGACCAGUCAGGAAACUGUGAUGGAACCAUUGCCUGAGAAACGCAGCCAUGUGCCAACUACCAAGCCUUGAGCUUUCCCGUCAUUCAGCACAAAUUGUUUUAGAUUCAGUGGAACACAGCUGUCAUCCAAAGCUACUGAAGCACAAACAUGAAACCAAAGAGCUUCUCUGGUCAACACAAGCUUUUAUGUAACGCUUUACCUUCUGGCCAUAGACACCACUUCAUUUUGGAAGACAUGGGAUCUAAUUUAAUUCUGGGAAGAUAAGGGCAAAUAUUUAGCUCUGCCUGGGAGCUUCUUUGCCUGAAAUGUCUAAGCUAAUCCUGACUCCAUGAAAGUUUCAUAUUCAUAUCAAAAUUCAUGUAAGAUAAAAAUCUAUGCAAU
rnacentral:lncRNA from 1 species